rnacentral:rRNA from 1 species
GACGAACGCUGGCGGCGUGCUUAACACAUGCAAGUCGAACGGGUCUGCCCUGUUUUUUGCGGGGUGGGUCAGUGGCGAACGGGUGAGUAACACGUGAGUAACCUGCCCCUCACUUCUGGAUAACCGCUUGAAAGGGUGGCUAAUACGGGGUGUUCUGGCUGUGCCGCAUGGUGUGGCUGGGAAAGAUUCACUUUUGUGGUGUUUUGGUGGGGGAUGGGCUCGCGGCCUAUCAGCUUGUUGGUGGGGUGAUGGCCUGCCAAGGCUUUGACGGGUAGCCGGCCUGAGAGGGUGGGCGGUCAAACUGGGACUGAGAUACGGCCCAGACUCCUGCGGGAGGCAGCAGUGGGGGGUAUUGCACAAUGGGCGGAAGCCUGAUGCAGCGACGUCGCGUGAGGGAUGGAGGCCUUCGGGUUGUGAACCUCUUUCGCCGGUGAAGAAGGUCCUGCUCUUUGUGGGGGGGUUGACGGUAGCCGGGUUAUGAAGCGCCGGCUAACUACGUG